rfam:Bdellovibrionales bacterium GWA1_52_35 gwa1_scaffold_39, whole genome shotgun sequence.
AAGAGCUGGAUGCCGGAAAUCGGCACGUCCAGUUCGGUGAGGGGCGGCGCUACGGCGCCGCCUACUCGGU